UGCUUUGCCAAACUAAAUCACCUCUCAGCACAGGAAUAUGGUACCUAUUGCAGAUCAGUGAGCCCAUUUUACCACAUGUUAUGACUUAUUUCUCUCAUCUCUUUUCUCCUUUUAAACGACUGUAUAAUCUCCUGGCAGAGUGGAUUCAUGUCAUUUGGGGUGAAUAAAUCACUUACAUUUUUAUGCUGCCUCUGUUCUUUUCCUAUUAACUUGCAAUAAAGCACUAUACUAUGUAGUGCUAAAAUGCUCAGAAGAGACACAAACCAAACAAGGACACCAAAACCGUCUGUCAGUAUUUGGUUAUCUAGGUAACUCUGCAUACGUGUAAAUUAAUUUUUCAGAUUGCAAACCCCAAAAUUUUCACAGAAAACUUGCAAAUCCUUCAGAGGAGGAUUGCAAAAUGCUACUAUUGUGGACGAUAACUUCAUAAAACAAAUGUUCAUGUGAAAAAUAACUGGAUUCCCAGGUAUCUUAAUGCCCUAACCCACUUCACUCCUUUGCCCUUUCAACAAAUACUUAUUGUCUGGUCUGUACCUAUGACCAUAAGAGAUGCUAUCUGGGUGAAUCACACAGGUCUUGCCCCUCAAGGAAUACCAAAAGAUGAAAGAUGUUUUAAAAAGUAUCAGAAUGUUUAACGGAGAAUAGAUGCUAAAUUCUGAGGAAUUUGGAAAGCUGUCAUUUGGGAUAUACUAGGAAUCCAAGAAAUAUUUGUUGACUUGUUGACUGCCUUCACUACCAGGGCUUUCAAUAGAACUAUGUUCCUCAUAGGUUACGCCAAUCAUGCAAGGCCACUCAGGCUCCACUUCCUGCUCUUUGGAAAAUAACAUAUUCAUUCUUUCAUUCAUUCAGUAAAUAUUUAUUGAGUGCCUAUUAUGGGCCAAAAUUGUUCUUAGCCUUUGAGAUACAUUAGUAAGGAAGAAAAAAAAUCCUGCCUCAUGGAGCUUAACUCUAGUGCGAGACAGACAAAUAAUAAACGAUGGCUAUAAUAAAUAAGUAAAUUAUACCAUACAUUACAAAGUAAAAAGUGCUAAGGAGAAAAAAACUUCAAGCAGGUAAGGGGUAUGGGAGUAGAAGUGUAGGUUAAACUUUCCUUUAAAGGUAGUCAGGAUAAGCCUCAUUGAAGUGAGAUUUCUAACUCAAUCAACAAUUCAAGGUAUAAUUACAGCAGUUUCGUAUUCACACUCUAAAUUACCAGUCAUCUUCUUCAGUGACAUAAAAUUUCCCACUGGACUACUCUUGUCCACUACAUUUUGGUAUUCCUCCAUGAACAUCUUAUUUAGAAUGUAUUUGUAAGUGGUAAACUAAUAAAAACAUGCAUUUCUAUUUGUUCCACAAUUGUUAGUAAUAAUGAGAUCAACUUUUCCUCAACUAUCCUGCUACACCGAAAGAGUUCAUUGCAAGAUUGUGGAAGUCUCAAAAUCUCCCAGUUCACCCAGGGCCAUGGGCUAAUUUGGGACGCCAGGAGGCUGCAAUUACUCUGGUCCCUUCCAUAAGAAAACUGGCUCAAGAAAUUGGUAUCUUAAUCUCUGGGAGUUUUCCCAUUAAUUCGAGGUUCACAUAUGGGGACCAAAAAGUCACCGCAGACUUUGAACUCAGUUCACGAAGCUUUCUGGGCUUUGUGCAAAACCACCAGAGGUAAUGAGCCAAGUGCGUCUACCAGCUGGGAAAUCAGCGCUGACUCAUCUUCAUCAGCGCCUCUGCCUGGGCGCCUGGAGACCAACAAAACCCUCGGGAAGGCACCGUUGACUUCCUGCGGGGGAAGUGAAAGUUUGGGAGAUUAAAUGGGAAGAGACGGUCUCUUUGCGGGGAAAACUAUCCUGCAAAAAGCGAGCAUAGACUGGUAAGCCCAGGACCCCCGACGCGCGGGCGGAAGUUGGGCCAGGCUGAGAGCCCCGCGCGCCUGCGCCCUGCGUCCCCUGAGCGCGCGCCCCUUGGGGCGGGAGUGCUGCUCCCACGUCCGGUGAGCGGGCGCCACUACGAAGCUGUGAGCGCGGGGAGGUGGCUGCUGUUUCAUGGCCUGAGGACGAGAAAGCGAGCGCCAAAAGCAGCCUGCAUAAGGUCCUGAAGGUUCAUCCACAUUGUAGCAUGUGUCAGAAUUCUUUUCCUUUUUAAGGUCUUCAGAUUGAGAGGUAAUAUACUUGAGGAACUAUGCACGUGGAGACUCUCGCUCAUCUGGACCUCAUUCAGAUGGCUAAAUCCUAACUUCAAGACAAUCCCACAAGGAGAUGAGGCUUUGAGGUGGGGGACUUGUGAGGAGGAUAAGUAUAUUUUUCAUAUGAGAAGCCCAACUACCCUGAGAUUAUCCUGCUGUGAGGAAAUGCAAGAUGUCAGGUGGAGUGAAUGUGGAAAGAGAGUUUACCAAGCAGUGCCCAUACAUCCCUCAGCUAUUCCAAAUAUCUCAGCCCAGUUGGCAGAUAUAUGAAUGAAGAAGCCAUCUUAGAACUGGAUCCUCUGGAUCCAGCCACCUCAGCUGAUACUACAUACAUCAGAAACAAAGUGCACAGCCAAACUCUCCCCAAAUUUGUGCCCACAGAAUUGUGAGAAAAAUAAAAUGUUUGUUUUAUUCCCCUAGGUUUUGCAGUAAUUUGUAAAGCAGAAAUAGCUAACUGAAACAUCCAACUAAUACAGAUGUAGUAUAUUGGGAAAAGGAACAGUGGAUCAAGAAGAUAUGGCAUCAAGAACACCUAAGCGCACAUGUGUGUGUGUAUAUUUAUCAACAACUGCCAUAAAGAGAGAUAAAUACUUCAACAGUUGUAGUUGGAAACUUUGACAUUUCUCUCUGAGAAACUGAUAGAUCAUACAAAAGGAAGCAAUGUUAGCUAUAUCUAAACAUUGUAAUUAGUAGACUUAAGUUAUUAGGCGUAUAUAGUACAAAAGGAAGCAAUGUUAGCUAUAUCUAAACAUUGUAAUUAGUAGACUUAAGUUAUUAGGCGUAUAUAGAGCUCGUCACAUGACAGAUAAUUCACUUUCUGUUUUAACAUGCACAGAAUAUUAACCAAAUAUUUCUCAAGAAUAAACCAGAGAUUAUAUUUCAAAGGGAACCUGGAAUUCCAAAGGAUCAGCAUCAUACACACUAUGUCCUUUAGUCAUAAUGCAUUAAAUUAUAAAUUAAGUUUCUUGAAAGGAUAACUUAAGUACAUCUCAUAUGCUUGGGAAAUAAAAACAAAUUCCUAAGUAACUGUUAGGCUGAAAAGGAAGUUACU